CAGCAGCCGCGGUAAUACGUAGGUCCCGAGCGUUGUCCGGAUUUAUUGGGCGUAAAGCGAGCGCAGGCGGUUAGAUAAGUCUGAAGUUAAAGGCUGUGGCUUAACCAUAGUACGCUUUGGAAACUGUUUAACUUGAGUGCAAGAGGGGAGAGUGGAAUUCCAUGUGUAGCGGUGAAAUGCGUAGAUAUAUGGAGGAACACCGGUGGCGAAAGCGGCUCUCUGGCUUGUAACUGACGCUGAGGCUCGAAAGCUUGGGGAGCAAACAGGAUUAGAUACCCCCGUAGUCCCUGUCUCUUAUACA
rnacentral:rRNA from 1 species